rnacentral:rRNA from 1 species
CAAAGGUUUGGUCCUGGCUUUUCUAUCAGUUUUAGCUAAACUUACACAUGCAAGUCUCCGCACCCCUGUGAGAAUGCCCGUGACUCCUUACUCAGGAGAGCGGAGCCGGUAUCAGGCACAACCAAUUAGCCCAUGACACCUUGCUUAGCCACACCCUCAAGGGAACCCAGCAGUGAUAAAUUUUAGAAAAAUAAGUGAAAGCUUGACCUAGUUAAAGCUAUUUAGGGCUGGUCAAAACCCGUGCCAGCCACCGCGGUUAAACGAGAAGCCCAAAUUGAUAGAUAGCGGCAUAAAGGGUGGUUAGGGAUUACAAAAACUAAAGCCGAACACUUUCAAAGCAGUUAUACGCCCCCGAAAGCAUGAAGAUCAACCACGAAAGUGGCUUUAUUUACCUGAACCCACGAAAGNUNAGAAACAAACUGGGAUUAGAUACCCCACUAUGCUUAGCCGUAAACUUAGAUGUAUAACACAUACACACUCCGCCCGGGGAGUACAAACAAAAGUUUGAAACCCAAAGGANUUGGCGGUGCUUAAUAUCCCCCUAGAGGAGCCUGUUCUAGAAUCGAUACCCCUCGUUAAACCUCACCCUCUCUUGUCCCCACCCCGCCUGUAUACCUCCGUCGUCAGCUCACCCUGUGAAGGCCCAACAGUAAGCAAAAUUUGGCACAGCCCAAAAAGUCAGGUCAAGGUGCAGCAUAUGAGGGGGGAAGAAAUGGGCUACAUUCCCUACCAGUAGGGGAUACGGAAAUAUAAAUUGAAAAAUAAUAUUGA